rnacentral:rRNA from 1 species
UACGGGAGGGUGCAAGCGUUGUCCGGAAUCACUGGGCGUAAAGGGCGCGUAGGCGGCUCAUGAAGGCUGUGGUGAAAGUCCGGGGCUCAACCUCGGAUCGGCCGUGGCGACUCGUGGGCUGGAGCACUGUAGAGGCGGGUGGAAUUCCGGGUGUAGCGGUGGAAUGCGUAGAGAUCCGGAAGAACACCAGUGGCGAAGGCGGCCCGCUGGGCAGUGGCUGACGCUGAGGCGCGACAGCGUGGGGAGCAAACAGG